GACGAACGCUGGCGGCGUGCUUAACACAUGCAAGUCGAACGGAAAGGCCCUGCUUGCAGGGUACUCGAGUGGCGAACGGGUGAGUAACACGUGGGUGAUCUGCCCUGCACUUCGGGAUAAGCCUGGGAAACUGGGUCUAAUACCGGAUAGGAGCCAUUUUUAGUGUGAUGGUUGGAAAGUUUUUUCGGUGUAGGAUGAGCUCGCGGCCUAUCAGCUUGUUGGUGGGGUAAUGGCCUACCAAGGCGGCGACGGGUAGCCGGCCUGAGAGGGUGGACGGCCACAUUGGGACUGAGAUACGGCCCAGACUCCUACGGGAGGCAACAGUGGGGAAUAUUGCACAAUGGGCGCAAGCCUGAUGCAGCGACGCCGCGUGGGGGAUGACGGCCUUCGGGUUGUAAACUCCUUUCGCUAGGGACGAAGCUUUUUGUGACGGUACCUAGAUAAGAAGCACCGGCUAACUACGUG
rnacentral:rRNA from 1 species